GAGGUGUUACCUGGACAAGUUUUGCUCGUCACCCCUUCCUCACGAAGCAGACCCCAUCGUGCAUAGCUAGGGUUGGGGCCGCCGCCGCCUCCCUAUCAGCCCAUUCAAGCUCCUCCGGGCUGGCCACUGGACAAGGCAUUCUCAGAUCCGCUUCUCCCCCAAACCUUCUGGUCUUCACGUUCCACCAUGCCGCCAUGAUGGUUGCAGAGGAGGGGAGGAAGGGGAUGGCAUCAAGGUUCUGACGGAGGCCCUAGCUCAAGGCGGCGAGUUGCAGAGUGAGGCCAACCAGCUUGUGAAAGGGGUCAAUCUAUUAGUUGCAACGCCGGGCAGGCUUCUGGACCAUCUGAAAAGUACCAGUGGUUUCAACUACAAAGGGCUAAAGUGCCUUAUAAUUGAUGAAGUUGACCACAUACUUGAGCAAAAUUUCAAGGAGGACAUGAAACAAAUAUUUAAACGCCUCCCUCAGAAUAGGUAAACUGUUCUCUUUUCUGCCACAGACUCAAAAGGUUGAAGAUAUUGCAAAUUUUACGUUUGGGAAAAAGAAAGGAGGACACCGAAAACUUGUUUAUGUUGGAGUAGAUGACUUGACUCUGAAUUAAAGGGUGUUGUUGUGAUUGUGAGAACCAAUCUCUCAAUAGAGCAUCAGGCUAGCAAAUGGGUCAGAGUUCGAGUGUGAGUGCGGGCAAUUGAAGCACAUGGGCAUGUUGAGUUGUCAUGUCCUAAGGGUGAUGGAUGUACUUCACCUUGAGGAGAUUCCUGCAAAACACAUCGUGAAGGGGUGGAUGAAGGAUGCGACCAGAAAGACCAAUCGGUUAAUAAGUCUUUUACAUGCAGGCAUUCGACUCUUUACUUGCAAUCUAUGAACGUUGUUCGGAUGGGCGACGCGACCGUGGAAGCGUGAAGGAUGGUCAGCUGGGCUGAAGGCAUUGUUGGUCAGCGGAGCGCCAUUCGUUGAGAAGAGGGAUGGUUUGCUUUGAGGACCGCCAGGGAAAUAUGCUAGCAGGAGGACUGCUUGGUAAUGGAGAAGUUGCAUUCAUGGCAAAUGGGGUUGCAGACCAUGAAUGCAGUGCAGGCCUGCCUGUGAGUGUCAAUGCGCUUGGAGGGUUAGCUUGGAUAGAGAAGCAGAGAGGGGUCGGCAGGCCAAGGAACAGCCGGGAGAAAGCACUGUACGAGGGACUGAGACGAGGUUCGGCAGUAUAUGUCGCCGUGAACGUCACAAGAGAACGACUUUGCCCUGACCGGGAAAUCCAGGAAGAUGCAAGAACUGUGGACUGGAAGGACAGCGCCGGAACACGUGCACGCCCACUUGGUGGUCCAGAGAAUCAAAUGUGACAACUAGAUUUUAUUUUCUGUAUGUUGUAUUAUGAAGAUUUUCUGGUGUUUCAUUGAGCUUUGUUCCACGCUUGUUCCUCCAGUUCGGGAUGUGAGAAACUGUAACAUUGAGGACGUGUUUGUUGUCUGCAUACACUAUUGGGUCUGCAUCGCACGCUUUUUAAGAAAAAGGCGAAGGUCCGCAGUUUCUCUGGAGCCA